AACGAACGCUGGCGGCAGGCCUAACACAUGCAAGUUGAGCGCGCAUUUCGGUGCUAGCGGCGGACGGGUGAGUCACGCGUGGGAUCGCGCCCUCUUCUGCGGAAUCGUCCUGGGACACUGGGCGUAAUACCGCAUACGCCCUCUUGGGGAAGGAUUUAUCGGAGUAGGCUCGGCCCGCGUUGGAUUAGGGAGUUGGUGUUGUAACAGCCUACUAAGCCGCCGAUCCAUAGCUGGUUUGAGAGGAUGAUCAGCCACACUGGGACUGAGACACGGCCCAGACUCCUUCGGCAGGAAGCAGUGGAGAAUCUUAGACAACAGGGGCAACACUGAUCUAGCCAGGCCGCGUGAGUGAAGGAGGCCUUAGAGGUGUAAAGCUCUUUCAACUGUGAAGAUAAUGAGGUGACCAACAGAAUAAGCCCGGGCUAGCUCCGUG
rnacentral:rRNA from 1 species